UACGAAGGGGGCUAGCGUUGCUCGGAAUCACUGGGCGUAAAGCGCACGUAGGCGGACUCUUAAGUCGGUGGUGAAAUCCUGGAGCUCAACUCCAGAACUGCCUUCGAUACUGGAAGACUCGAGUCCGGGAGAGGUGAGUGGAACUGCGAGUGUAGAGGUGAAAUUCGUAGAUAUUCGCAAGAACACCAGUGGCGAAGGCGGCUCACUGGCCCGGUACUGACGCUGAGGUGCGAAAGCGUGGGGAGCAAACAGG
rnacentral:rRNA from 1 species